rnacentral:rRNA from 1 species
UACGAAGGGGGCUAGCGUUGUUCGGAAUUACUGGGCGUAAAGCGCGCGUAGGCGGAAUGUUAAGUCAGGGGUGAAAUCCCGAGGCUCAACCCCGGAACUGCCUUUGAUACUGGCAUUCUCGAGUCCGGAAGAGGUGAGUGGAAUUCCGAGUGUAGCGGUGAAAUGCGUAGAUAUUGGGAGGAACACCGGUGGCGAAGGCGGCCCCCUGGACCGGUACUGACGCUGAGGCGCGAAAGCGUGGGGAGCGAACGGG